AGAUUGAACGCUGGCGGCAUGCUUUACACAUGCAAGUCGAACGGGGUGGUGGGGCAACCUGCCAUUCAGUGGCGAACGGGUGAGUAAUACAUCGGAACGUGUCCCGUAGUGGGGGAUAACCCGGCGAAAGCCGGACUAAUACCGCAUAUGCUCUACGGAGGAAAGCGGGGGACCUGAAAGGGCCUCGCGCUAUGGGAGCGGCCGAUGUCCGAUUAGCUUGUUGGUGAGGUAAUGGCUCACCAAGGCGACGAUCGGUAGCUGGUCUGAGAGGAUGAUCAGCCACACUGGACUGAGACACGGCCCAGAC
rnacentral:rRNA from 1 species